rnacentral:lncRNA from 1 species
UAAGAUUGCUGCCUUAGUAUUUUUAGCAUGAAAUGGCAACCUUUGGAUCUGAAUUAGAAAUGUUAACUAUGUUGCAAUGUCGUAUAAUUGUUUCCUUGGCUGCACUGAACCUGCAUCAAAGAAGAGGCAAGAGAUAACUAGAGGCUGCCAGAUUAUUUGUUAAUCUGUCACAAACACUCAAGGAAAAAAAACAUUAAAACCUUGUAUCUUAGAACUGCAGAACUAGGAGGGACCAUAUGGCUCAUCGAGUCCAGCCCCUGCAAGGAGGAUCAGUGGGGAAUGAAAUGGGAAACCACUGAGCUGUCCAGCAGUUCAUUGCUUUAUUGCACCUCAAGGAGGCUCUAUCAGUUGACAUGGCAGCAGAGCAGAUGACAUCACUGUAUGUACACAGAAUGACGGAAUGAUAGAAUCAUGGAGUUGUUUGACAAGAAGCCCUGGAACUGUGUUUCCCUUCUGUUACCAUUGUGGGUUGUGCAAUACAGAGUAUUAGCAGAGUAAAAUAGCUUGAAAAACAUAGAGAGCCAAUUGGGGCUGAUUGGGGUAGAUCUUUUUUUUUAAAAUCAUCCCACAAGUGUAAAGCAUGACUGAGCACGCAGCAGGGAUGACGGAUGCACUGGAGAAGAACAUAUUUCUGCACACACCUGAGCCACAGCUGCACACAAAACGAUUCCCAACAGCUUCCUGGCCUCCAGUCCCUAGAGACAGCAUUAUCAGCACAUUACCAGACAUGAAGGUGAAAACAAGGGAAUGGAACUAGUCAGGGGAGAAAAGAGGAAUAGGAGGAAAGCAAAUGAAAAACACACAGCAGCUGGUCAGUGAGUCUUGAUUUUCAACUCUAAUCUCAGCUUGCACAGUCAAUAGGGAGAAAUACCACAAUUUGCAUGACAAGAGCAGGGUGAACUGAAUGGUAGCAAAUCAAUUCUGCAAGAGGAGAUAAAGCCAGAAUAUAGCUAAUGUAUUAGCAGAAAGGUAGAAAUUCAAUUCCCAUAAUGUCAGAUGAUAUUGAUUAAAACUGACAGUUUUUUUUAUUCUCCUGCCACUUGGGCUCCUGGAACAAGUUAGUCUUCUAAAGGCACCGUUGUCUUACAUGUAUGU